UUACAAGCACUUAGAGCACGUCAAAGUGUGAUAAGGUACCUAUUGUAGAAUGGUCCGGCGAGUUAUUGUAUGCAGCGAGGUUAAGUAGUUCAGCUACGGAGCCGAAGUGAGAGCGAGUGUUAACAGCACGUUCAGUUGCAUGCAAUAGACCCGAAACCGGGUGACCUAUCCAUGUCCAGGAUGAAGUGAGGGUAAAACCUCAUGGAGGUCCGAACCCACUCCCGUUGAAAUGGUAGGGGAUGAGGUGUGGAUAGCGGAGAAAUUCCAAUCGAACCCGGAUAUAGCUGGUUCUCCCCGAAAUAGUUUUAGGACUAGCCUCGUGAUUAAGAUUAUCGGAGGUAAAGCACUGAAUGGCCUAGGGGUCGAGAGAUUACCGAAGCCUAUCAAACUCUGAAUGCCGAAUAAUCAUGCACGGGAGUCAGACUGUGUGAGAUAAGUUUCAUAGUCGAAAGGGAAACAGCCCAGACCUACAGCUAAGGUCCCAAAGUACGUUUAAGUGGAAAACGAUGUGAAAUUGCGUAGACAACCAGGAUGUUGGCUUAGAAGCAGCCAUACAUUAAAAGAGUGCGUAAUAGCUCACUGGUCGAGUGACUUUGCGCGGAAAAUUUAACGGGGCUAAAACGUACACCGAAGCUUAGGCUUGCAACUAUGUUGCAGGGGUAGGGGAGCGUUGAAUGAGGGGUGAAGUCGUAGCGAAAGCGACGGUGGACUUCAUUCAAGUGAGAAUGCCGGAAUGAGUAGCGAGAAUUAUGUGAGAAUCAUAAUGGCCGAAAGCCUAAGGUUUUUGGAGGAAGGUUCGUCCGCUCCAAGUAAGUCGGAAGCUAAGGUGAGGCUGAAAAGCGUAGCCGAUGCACAAACGGUUGAAAUUCCGUUACCACAGAAAGAUUUAAACUAAGGGACACUUUUGAAGAGCUGAUGCCGGGUGUUGGUUACCCCGGUCGUAAGGGAACGAAAUUAGAGUAGUGAAGUCAGCGUGGAUGAAGGCGAGAAAAGCUUAGUGUAUAUCUUAUGUGUCCGUACCGCAAACCGACACAGGUAGGUAGGAAGAGAAUUCUAAGGCCAACGGGAGAAGGGUAGUUAAGGAACUCGGCAAAAUGUCCCCGUAACUUCGGAAUAAGGGGAGGUUUCUACGGAAACCCGCAGAGAAUAGUCCCAGGCAACUGUUUAUCAAAAACACAGCUCUAUGCUAAAUCGAAAGAUGACGUAUAUGGGGUGACGCCUGCCCGGUGCCGGAAGGUUAAGAGGAGGAGUGAGAGCCCUGAAUCGAAGCCCCGGUAAACGGCGGCCGUAACUAUAACGGUCCUAAGGUAGCGAAAUUCCUUGUCAGGUAAGUUCUGACCCGCACGAAUGGCGUAAUGAUCUGGGAGCUGUCUCAACUGCCCGCCCGGCGAAAUUGUAGUACCGGUGAAGAUGCCGGUUACCCGCGACUAGACGGAAAGACCCCAUGGAGCUUUACUGUAGCUUAAUAUUGGAUUUCGGCAUUUCAUGUACAGGAUAGGUGGGAGACUAGGAAACAUAGGCGUCAGCUUAUGUGGAGUCGUCCUUGGGAUACCACUCUUGGAGUGCUGAAAUUCUAACCUGCAGCCCUGAAUCGGGUUGGGGGACAUUGUUAGGUGGGCAGUUUGACUGGGGCGGUCGC
rnacentral:rRNA from 1 species